AUCCCCGGACGGAAAGUAAACUGCCCACGCCCACGGAGAAAGCAACAGUUUGGACCAGCUUGGCUCGGGCCUGCCCUUCCUGGGCCUGUAUUCCAUCCGUCCAUCAUUUCUUAAGGCAGCUGUACAGGACGGGCCCGGGACACCCGCCCGUUUUUGCCCCCCUCCUUGUAAGCCGAGCUUCGGGCCCACUAACGAUCUACGGCAGCGUGCACUCAGUGAGCAGCGCCGCCGUGGUCCUCGGCCGAGGUCUUAUUCUCACCCCCCUCCUUACUGUCCGGGGAUCUUUGACCUACAGUUUGGCCAGUGAUAAGCUCUGUACAGAAGACAGGAGAAUACAGAAGGACCAGAGGCCUCUUAGGGAGUAGCAAAGCCCAGAAAGGAACUUCAGAAAAUAAAGCAAGUGCACACAUAAAUUAGCCCAGAGGGGCAAGAAUGAGGGAGAGAAUUGGCCUACACAACACCAAGACUGAUAACAUCUAUAAGGAGCUGCCGGAGGAACCUCAAGGGGCAGCUCUUCUCAUUCAUGCAAGAGGAGAAGUCUGGAACACACCAGUGAGUCAGCAAAUAAAUGAUUUAUCCCUGGCUGUUUUGGGAGGCAGUCUCUCAGAUGGACUGAAAAUGUCAUCCUGUUUCUCUGAGCAACAAACUUCCUACAGUAACCAGAACAGGAGUCAGGAUGCAGUCAAUACACCAAUCUGUCUUAUGCCUUAGUUACAAAUUCACUUU